AGUGAACGCUGGCGGUAGGCCUAACACAUGCAAGUCGAACGGCAGCACAGUAAGAGCUUGCUCUUACGGGUGGCGAGUGGCGGACGGGUGAGGAAUACAUCGGAAUCUACUUUUUCGUGGGGGAUAGCGUAGGGAAACUUACGCUAAUACCGCAUACGACCUACGGGUGAAAGCAGGGGAUCUUCGGACCUUGCGCGAUUGAAUGAGCCGAUGUCGGAUUAGCUAGUUGGCGGGGUAAAGGCCCACCAAGGCGACGAUCCGUAGCUGGUCUGAGAGGAUGAUCGGCCACACUGGAACUGAGACACGGUCCAGACUCCUACGGGAGGCAGCAGUGGGGAAUAUUGGACAAUGGGCGCAAGCCUGAUCCAGCCAUACCGCGUGGGUGAAGAAGGCCUUCGGGUUGUAAAGCCCUUUUGUUGGGAAAGAAAAGCAGCAGGUUAAUACCCCGCUGUUCUGACGGUACCCAAAGAAUAAGCACCGGCUAACUUCGUG
rnacentral:rRNA from 1 species